GACGAACGCUGGCGGCGUGCUUAACACAUGCAAGUCGAACGGAAAGGCCCUGCUUUUGUGGGGUGCUCGAGUGGCGAACGGGUGAGUAACACGUGAGUAACCUGCCCUUGACUUUGGGAUAACUUCAGGAAACUGGGGCUAAUACCGGAUAGGAGCUCCUGCUGCAUGGUGGGGGUUGGAAAGUUUCGGCGUUUGGGGAUGGACGCGCGGCUUAUCAGCUUGUUGGUGGGGUAGUGGCUUACCAAGGCUUUGACGGGUAGCCGGCCUGAGAGGGUGACCGGCCACAUUGGGACUGAGAGACGGCCCAGACUCCUACGGGAGGCAGCAGUGGGGAAUAUUGCACAAUGGGCGGAAGCCUGAUGCAGCAACGCCGCGUGCGGGAUGACGGCCUUCGGGUUGUAAACCGCUUUCGCCUGUGACGAAGCGUGAGUGACGGUAAUGGGUAAAGAAGCACCGGCUAACUACGUG
rnacentral:rRNA from 1 species